UUUGUCUUUUGUACUUGGGUGAGAGCACGAGCUGUCUCCUUUUGAUGUAGUGCACGGGUUGUCCCCUCAUGUGCUACUGUGAGCACCAAAUGCCAGCAUGGUUCUAAAGCUCGCCUCUCUCUCUCUCCCGCCGCCUCACUCUCCUCUCUCUCUCUCUCUCUCUCUCUGUGUCUCUCCCCGGCACGGCCGCACGACGCCUUUUCUUUCUUUGACGGUGACGCCGUGAUGGACUGACGGUGCGCGUCUGGGUUUGGCUCGAACUCUACUAGGUGAAGCAGCUUCAAUUUCAGUUUUCGACUCGAUUUCUGAAACUUCAAUCUUGAUGGAUGAAAAAUUAGCCAAGGAAAAGGCAAUUAAUGAGUGGCUUCCAAUUACUUCUUCGAGGAAUGCAACAUGGUUAUGUGCAUGUCUUUGCUGCUAUGAGAACAUCCAUGGUUACAAAACACAAAGAAAGCCCCAAAUUUUCCAUUAGGAGAUAUUGCAAAGCCCAGGCUCAAGCAGUUUUCAGUAGUAAGCAGUUCUCAGUAAUAAAUAAAUUUAUGGGUAAGCAUCUGUUUAUGAGUCUCAGUAUUGACUACUAUUGCAAGUGAUAUAUGAUUCACGAAAUAUGUGAUUAUGUGAAAUUUUCUUUUUCUAUCAAAUGCUGCAAGAAUUGCAGAACACUUUUGUUAACGAAGUAGAAGUAAUCAGGGACAUGUUCACAUUGAUGGACGCUGAUAAAGAUGGUAAAGUAACUUACGAGGAAUUGAAGACUGGUCUUGAAAAGGUUGGUUUGCAGUUGGCUGAACGAGAGGUUAAGAUGCUGAUGGA